rnacentral:tRNA from 2 species
UUUAAUGUGGUGUGUUUAGCAUCUUACAUUUUGGUUGUGAAGGAGAUUAGUUAUCCAUUAAUU